UGGGGAAUAUUGCACAAUGGGCGCAAGCCUGAUGCAGCCAUGCCGCGUGUGUGAAGAAGGCCUUCGGGUUGUAAAGCACUUUCAGCGGGGAGGAAGGCGUUAAGGUUAAUAACCUUGGCGAUUGACGUUACCCGCAGAAGAAGCACCGGCUAACUCCGUGCCAGCAGCCUCGGUAAUACGGAGGGUGCAAGCGUUAAUCGGAAUUACUGGGCGUAAAGCGCACGCAGGCGGUCUGUCAAGUCGGAUGUGAAAUCCCCGGGCUCAACCUGGGAACUGCAUUCGAAACUGGCAGGCUAGAGUCUUGUAGAGGGGGGUAGAAUUCCAGGUGUAGCGGUGAAAUGCGUAGAGAUCUGGAGGAAUACCGGUGGCGAAGGCGGCCCCCUGGACAAAGACUGACGCUCAGGUGCGAAAGCGUGGGGAGCAAACAGG
rnacentral:rRNA from 1 species